rnacentral:rRNA from 1 species
CAAUAGCAUAUAUUAACGUUGUUGCAGUUGAAAAGCUCGUAGUUGAACUUUUGGUAGGAGCGACCUGGCCUUGGGCGCAUGCCCUUGUUUGCCGUGUGUCGUGUCUGGCCAUCCUUUUCCGUUUCGGCGGGAAUCUUUUACUGUGAGUAAACUGGAGUGCUCAAAACAAGACGUUUGUUUGGUACAUUAAAGCAUGGAAUAAUAAGAUAGGACCUGGUUACUAUUUUGUUGGUUUGCAUAGCUAGGUAAUGAUUAACAGGGACAGUUGGGGGUAUUCGUAUUUAAUUGUCAGAGGUGAAAUUCUUGGAUUUAUGAAAGACGAACGACUGCGAAAGCAUUUACCAAGGAUGUUUNCAUUAA